rnacentral:rRNA from 1 species
GACGGAGGAUGCAAGCGUUAUCCGGAAUGAUUGGGCGUAAAGCGUCCGCAGGUGGCAGUUCAAGUCUGCUGUCAAAGACCGGGGCUUAACUUCGGAAAGGCAGUGGAAACUGAACAGCUAGAGUAUGGUAGGGGCAGAGGGAAUUCCUGGUGUAGCGGUGAAAUGCGUAGAGAUCAGGAAGAACAUCGGUGGCGAAGGCGGGUCUCUGGGCCGAUACUGACGCUGAGGCGCGAAAGCUAGGGGAGCAAACGGG